UAUUUUUAAAACUUUUUAUUUUGAAAAAAGUUAGACUUUCAAAGGGUGGCAAAAAUAAUAGUUUCCAUGUACCCUUCACCCAGCUCUUACUAAUGUUAACAUCUUACAUAACCACAGUACAAUUAUCAAAACCAAAUAAUUGACAUUGAUGAAAUCUUAUUUCUGGUCCUUUUUCUAAUCCAACAUCUAAAUCGGUAUCUCACAAUGCAGUUAGUUAUCAUAUUUCUUUACUCUCUUCCAGUCCAUGACUGUUCCUCAGUCUUUCCUUAUUGUUCACGGCCUUGGCACUUUCAAAACGUACUGGCCAGUUAUUUUGUAGAGUGUCUCUCAGUUUGGGCUUGUCUGAUCUUUUCUCCUGAUUGCACUGAGAUUGCACAUUUCUGACAACACCACAGAAGUGACAAUUGUGCCCUUCUCAGUGCAUCAUAUUGGAAGGUACAUGGUAUCAGUAUGUCUUAUUAGUGGUGAUGUUAACUUGAUCACUGGGUUAAGGUGGUUUCUGUCAGGCUUAUUCACUAUAAUGACUGUUUUUCCCUUUGUAAUUAGUAUCUUGUGAAGGGAUCUUAAAACCAUGCAAAAUCGUGUUUCCCAUCAUACUUCUGUUCACUAAUUCGGCAUUCAUAGGUGUUUCUUGUCUGCAACAACUAUUCCUAUGGUGUUUGCCUAAUGGUGUUUUUUUGUUUGUGGGUUUGAGAUGGAGUCUCACUCUGUCACCCAGGCUAGAGGGCAGUGGCACAGUCCCAGAUCACUGCAACCUCCACCUCCCAGUUCAAGCGAUUCUCCUGCCUCAGCCUCCGGAGUAGCUGGGAUUACAGGCACGUGCCACCACGCCUGGCUAACUUUGUGUAUUUUUAGUAGAGACAGGGUUUCACCAUGUUGGCCAGGCUGGUCUCAAACUCCUGACCUCAGGUAAUCCACCUGCCUUGGCCUCCCAAAGUGCUGGAAUUACAGGUGUGAGCCACCGUGCCCAGCCUGAAUACAAUUUCGUCAUAUGUGUACACCACAUUCUCUUUACCCAUUCGUCUGUUGAUGGGCAUUUAGGUUGUUUUCAUAUCUUGGCUAUAGUGAAUAAUGCUGUAAUGA
rnacentral:lncRNA from 1 species